rnacentral:rRNA from 1 species
AUUGAACGCUGGCGGCAUGCCUUACACAUGCAAGUCGAACGGUAACAGGUCUUCGGAUGCUGACGAGUGGCGAACGGGUGAGUAAUACAUCGGAACGUGCCUAGUAGUGGGGGAUAACUACUCGAAAGAGUGGCUAAUACCGCAUGAGAUCUACGGAUGAAAGCAGGGGAUCGCAAGACCUUGUGCUACUAGAGCGGCCGAUGGCAGAUUAGGUAGUUGGUGGGAUAAAAGCUUACCAAGCCGACGAUCUGUAGCUGGUCUGAGAGGACGAUCAGCCACACUGGGACUGAGACACGGCCCAGACUCCUACGGGAGGCAGCAGUGGGGAAUUUUGGACAAUGGGCGCAAGCCUGAUCCAGCCAUGCCGCGUGUCUGAAGAAGGCCUUCGGGUUGUAAAGGACUUUUGUCCGGGAGCAAAUGCCUGGUGUUAAUAGCACUGGGAGCUGAGAGUACCGGAAGAAUAAGCACCGGCUAACUACGUGCCAGCCGCCGCGGUAAGAC